AUUGAACGCUGGCGGCAUGCUUUACACAUGCAAGUCGAACGGUAACAGGUUAAGCUGACGAGUGGCGAACGGGUGAGUAAUGCAUCGGAACGUGCCCGGUCGUGGGGGAUAACGCAGCGAAAGCUGCGCUAAUACCGCAUACGAUCUGAGGAUGAAAGCGGGGGACCGUAAGGCCUCGCGCGAUCGGAGCGGCCGAUGUCAGAUUAGGUAGUUGGUGGGGUAAAGGCUCACCAAGCCGACGAUCUGUAGCUGGUCUGAGAGGACGACCAGCCACACUGGGACUGAGACACGGCCCAGACUCCUACGGGAGGCAGCAGUGGGGAAUUUUGGACAAUGGGCGCAAGCCUGAUCCAGCAAUGCCGCGUGCAGGAAGAAGGCCUUCGGGCUGUAAACUGCUUUGUACGGAGCGAAAAGGCUCUCUCUAAUACGGGGGGCGUCAUGACGGUACCGUAAGAAUAAGCACCGGCUAACUACGUGCCAGCAGCCG
rnacentral:rRNA from 1 species